rnacentral:rRNA from 1 species
AUUGAACGCUGGCGGCACGCCUAACACAUGCAAGUCGAGCGGUAGCAGGACCUGUAGCAAUACAGGUUGCUGACGAGCGGCGGACGGGUGAGGAAGACGUAGGAACCUGCCUUAUAGUGGGGGAUAAGUGAGGGAAACUUUAGCUAAUACCGCAUAAUCUCUAGAGAGGAAAGCUACCGCAAGGUGGCGCUAAAAAAGGGGCCUACGUCCGAUUAGCUAGUUGGUGAGGUAAGAGCGCACCAAGGCGAUGAUCGGUAACUGGUCUGAGAGGAGUACCAGUCACACUGGGACUGAGACACGGCCCAGACUCCUACGGGAGGCAGCAGUGGGCAAUAUUGGACAAUGGGGGCAACCCUGAUCCAGCGAUGCCGCGUGAGUGAAGCAGGCCUUCGGGUCGGAAAGCUCUUUAGGUUGGGAAGAAGGGUGUUAGAGGAAAUGCUAAUCCUUUGACGGUACCGACAGAAUAAGCACCGGCAAACUCUGUGCCAGCCGCCGCGGUAA